rnacentral:rRNA from 1 species
CCCGAGUUGUAAUUUGUAGAGGAUGCUUUUGGUGCGGUGCCUUCCGAGUUCCCUGGAACGGGACGCCAUAGAGGGUGAGAGCCCCGUCUGGUUGGAUGCCAAUCCUCUGUAAAGCUCCUUCGACGAGUCGAGUAGUUUGGGAAUGCUGCUCUAAAUGGGAGGUAUAUGUCUUCUAAAGCUAAAUACCGGCCAGAGACCGAUAGCGCACAAGUAGAGUGAUCGAAAGAUGAAAAGAACUUUGAAAAGAGAGUUAAAAAGUACGUGAAAUUGUUGAAAGGGAAGCGCUUGUGACCAGACUUGGGCUUGGUUGAUCAUCCAGGGUUCUCCCUGGUGCACUCUUCCGGCUCAGGCCAGCAUCAGUUUGCCUCGGGGGAUAAAGGCUUCGGGAAUGUGGCUCUCUCCGGGGAGUGUUAUAGCCCGCUGCGUAAUACCCUGUGCGG